UACAGAGGAGCCAAGCGUUGUCCGGAUUGACUGGGCGUAAAGCGCACGCAGGCGGCUGCGCGCGUGGGGUGUGAAAUCUGGCCGCUUAACGGCCAGGCGCCAUCCCAUACGGCGCGGCUUGAGCCUUGCAGAGGGCGGUGGAAUUGCCGGUGUAGUGGUGAAAUGCGUAGAUAUCGGGAAGAACACCAGUGGCGAAAGCGGCUCUCUGGGGAUUACCUGACACUGAGGCGCGAAAGCGUGGGGAGCGAACCGG
rnacentral:rRNA from 1 species